rnacentral:rRNA from 1 species
GACAGAGGGUGCAAACGUUGCUCGGAAUUACUGGGCGUAAAGCGCGUGUAGGCGGUUUCGCACGUCCGGUGUGAAAGCCCAGGGCUCAACCCUGGGAGGCGGGUGGAUACUACGGAACUGGAGUACGGAAGAGGAGAUUGGAAUUCCUGGUGUAGCGGUGAAAUGCGCAGAUAUCAGAAGGAACACCAACAGCGAAGGCAGAUCUCUGGGCAGUAACUGACGCUGAGGAGCGAAAGCGUGGGGAGCGAACAGG